rnacentral:rRNA from 1 species
UACAGAGGGGGCAAGCGUUAUUCGGAAUUAUUGGGCGUAAAGGGCGCGUAGGCGGCUUUGCAAGUGACGGGUGAAAGCCCUCGGCUUAACCGAGGAACUGCCUGUCAGACUGUGAGGCUUGAGACCGGGAGAGGUGAGUGGAAUUCCAGGUGUAGCGGUGAAAUGCGUAGAUAUCUGGAGGAACUCCGGUGGCGAAGGCGGCGUUCUGGACUGUUUCUGACACUGAGGAACGAAAGCCAGGGGAGCAAACGGG